rnacentral:tmRNA from 1 species
GGGGGCGAAACAGAUUCGACGGAGAUUCGCAUUCGCGCUUUGUUGUCAUGCCGACCGCUUCAGUCAAGUCGUUAAACUGAUUGGAACAAUUAAUUGCCAACUACGAACCGUUAGCAAUCGCUGCUUAAAAUAAGCAGCAUGCCACCCGUUGAUGCCUGCUAGGCGGUAGUGGCAACGACAGUAGGCUGGCUGGGCCCGGCGCCUGUAACGGACCUGGCGAGACAAUUUGCAGGAUAGCAACUUUGAGAUCCCGUCUGCGGGAGCAAGAAGGAGCGAAACCUAAAUUCGCAGAAUAAGCAUGUAGAGGCGAGCGUGAUGUAUCUUCGGACGCGGGUGCAAUUUCCCGCCGCCUCCACCA